GACGAACGCUGGCGGCGUGCUUAACACAUGCAAGUUGUGCGGGUUUUUGCAGAUAGUAAUAUUUGCAGGAAUCAGCGGCGGACGGGUGAGUAAUACAUAGGUAAUCUACCUUCGAGCUUGGGAUAACCCCGCGAAAGUGGAGCUAAUACCGGAUAAGACCACGUGGCAUACGCUACGGGGUAGAAGGUGGCUUGUAUUUAUACUGGCUAUCACUUGAGGAUGAGCCUAUGGCCUAUCAGCUUGUUGGCGGGGUAAGAGCCCACCAAGGCUAUGACGGGUAGUUGGUCUGAGAGGACGACCAACCACACUGGGACUGAGACACGGCCCAGACUCCUACGGGAGGCAG
rnacentral:rRNA from 1 species